GGAGAAAAAAACGAAAAGCAGCAUGGCACACAUGGUUCAUGAAACACUGUCAGCCACAAGAACCUACAAGGCUAUGUGUUCUGAAUGGCGUGAUCUGACUUCAGUGUGUCCGCCCAGGCCUCCUGCUCCACACAAGGUCGCUCUGUGUGUGUUCAGCCACGGAGAAUGAGGAUGCUGUCAUGGCUGCAGUGCUGUGAUCUGUCUGAUGUAAAUCCUCCAUGCUUGGUGG